UUGCCAGACUCCUACGGGAGGCAGCAGUGAGGAAUAUUGGUCAAUGGCCGGAAGGCUGGACCAGCCAAGCCACGUGAAGGAAGAAGGCGCCAGGCGUCGUAAACUUCUUUUGUCGGGGAACAAAGGGCGCCACGCGUGGCGUUGUGAGUGUACCCGAAGAAAAAGCAUCGGCUAACUCCGUGCCAGCAGCCGCGGUAAUACGGAGGAUGCGAGCGUUAUCCGGAUUUAUUGGGUUUAAAGGGUGCGUAGGCGGGCUGUUAAGUCAGCGGUGAAAGGUCGGGGCUCAACCCCGGCCUGCCGUUGAAACUGGCGGCCUCGAGUGGGCGAGAAGUAUGCGGAAUGCGUGGUGUAGCGGUGAAAUGCAUAGAUAUCACGCAGAACUCCGAUUGCGAAGGCAGCAUACCGGGGCCCUACUGACGCUGAGGCACGAAAGCGUGGGUAUCGAACAGGAUUAGAUACCCUCGUAA
rnacentral:rRNA from 1 species